GACGAACGCUGGCGGCGUGCUUAACACAUGCAAGUCGAACGGAAAGGCCCUGCUUGCAGGGUACUCGAGUGGCGAACGGGUAAGUAACACGUGGGUGAUCUGCCCUGCACUUCGGGAUAAGCUUGGGAAACUGGGUCUAAUACCGGAUAGGAGCCAUCUUUAGUGUGGUGGUUGGAAAGUUUUUUCGGUGUAGGAUGAGCUCGCGGCCUAUCAGCUUGUUGGUGGGGUAAUGGCCUACCAAGGCGGCGACGGGUAGCCGGCCUGAGAGGGUGUACGGCCACAUUGGGACUGAGAUACGGCCCAGACUCCUACGGGAGGCAGCAGUGGGGAAUAUUGCACAAUGGGCGCAAGCCUGAUGCAGCGACGCCGCGUGGGGGAUGAAGGCCUUCGGGUUGUAAACUCCUUUCGCUAGGGACGAAGCUUUUUUGUGACGGUACCUAGAUAAGAAGCACCGGCUAACUACGUG
rnacentral:rRNA from 1 species